AAAAACAUGGCUCCUUGAAUUUUAUUUAUAAGGAGUCGGACCUGCCCAGUGAAUUUUUUAACGGCCGCGGUACUCUGACCGUGCAAAGGUAGCAUAAUCAUUUGCCUUAUAAUUGAAGGCUAGUAUGAAUGGUUUGACAAGAAUGUAGCUGUCUCUUCAUGAUUAGAUAGAAUUUUAUUUUCAGGUGAAGAAGCCUGUAUAAAAUUAAAAGACAAGAAGACCCUAUCGAGCUUGAAAAAAAUUAACAGAGUUAAACAUUAAUAAAGCUAAAAAAUUGACUGUUAAAUAUUUUAGUUGGGGCGACUGAGGAACAUAAAAAGCUUCCUUUAAAAACUAGUUUAAAUCAUACUAGAAUUGAUCCAAAACAUUUUGAUUAAAGGAAUUAGUUACCGUAGGGAUAACAGCAUUAUCUUUUUUAAGAGCUCAUAUCGAAAAAAAGGUUUGUGACCUCGAUGUUGGACCAGAAUAUCCUAAAGGUGCAGCAGCCUUUAAGGGUUGGUCUGUUCGACCAUUAAAAUUCUACCUGA
rnacentral:rRNA from 1 species